rnacentral:rRNA from 1 species
CACGAACGCUGGCGGCAGGCUUAACACAUGCAAGUCGAGCGCCCCGCAAGGGGAGCGGCAGAGGGGUGAGUAACGCGUGGGAAUCUACCCAUCUCUACGGAAUAACGCAUGGAAACGUGUGCUAAUACCGUAUACGUCCUUCGGGAGAAAGAUUUAUCGGAGAUGGAUGAGCCCGCGUUGGAUUAGCUAGUUGGUGGGGUAAAGGCCUACCAAGGCGACGAUCCAUAGCUGGUCUGAGAGGAUGAUCAGCCACACUGGGACUGAGACACGGCCCAGACUCCUACGGGAGGCAGCAGUGGGGAAUAUUGGACAAUGGGCGCAAGCCUGAUCCAGCCAUGCCGCGUGUGUGAUGAAGGCCCUAGGGUUGUAAAGCUCUUUCACCGGUGAAGAUAAUGACGGUAACCGGAGAAGAAGCCCCGGCUAACUUCGUGCCAGCCGCCGCGGUAACAC